rnacentral:tRNA from 1 species
GGAUGUAGCUCAAUGGUAGAGCACUUGCCCAGCAUGCCUGAGGCCCUGUGUUCAAUCCUCAGCAUUGCCA